rnacentral:lncRNA from 1 species
CUCAGCCCUUACACAUCCCACUCCUUCAGCUCAGGUUACUUUCUCUCCCUGUCUGCUCGAUUCUUCCUGUUUAAAUUGUUAUGCCUGCAUGCCCAGAUUACAAAUGACAGUCCAUAUAAAUAUGCUUUUAAAACCUCACUGUGGGGCCACAGAGAUGGUUCAGUGAGUAGAGGCACCAGCUGGCUUCCUGAGUGGAAGAAGAAACCAGCUUCAAGCCCUCAUCCAGUGGCUGAUGGAAGCAGAGGCGGAUAUCCUCAGAUAUACACUGAACUGAGCUCUGGAACUUAGUUGCAGAGAGGGAGAAAUGAAGAUCGAAGGGGUCGGUACCAGGUUGGAGAAACCCACAGAAACAGCUGGCCUGAACAAGGGGGAGCACAUCGACCCCAAAUCCUGUCUGGGAGGCCAGUACAGGACUGAUCCAGACCCCUGAACAUGGAUGUCAAUGAGGAGGCCUCUGCACUCUAGGGGAUCCCUGGUGGUGGAUUAGUAUUUUUCCCUGGUGUAAGAAGGGACUUUGAGAGCCCAUCCCAUAUGAAGGGAUGCACUCUUGCCCUGGACACAUGGGGCAGGGCCUAGGCCCCGCCCAGGAUGAUGUGGUGGACUUUGCAGAGCCCCUGUG